rnacentral:tRNA from 1 species
GCGGGAUUAGUUGAUCGGCUCAACGAAAGCUUUCCAAGCUUUAAAGAGGGGUUCGACUCCCCUAUCCCGCU